CUUUCAAGGGACCUGACACACCUCUUCAUCUCUUUUUAUACUCUCUCCCCCAUCUCUUUUCAAAAAUUCAAACUCUUCUCUCAAAUCUUUCCAGAAACCCUAACUUUUGUUCUCUUCUUUUUCUCUUUCUCUCUCUUCAAAAUGUCUCAAACUCCAUCUUAUUCCCAAAAAAUGAUGGAUGUUCUAAAUGAAAUAGACCUUGUUGCCUUUGUCUCCCCCUCCAGUAACCCUAUCUCAACCAUUCUUCCGGUUAAAGAUUCCCAAACCCCAACCUCUGAAAUCUUUCUUAAUUCUGCUGACAAAGCCCCUCCGGUGUACUCCCCUUCUCUAGAUCUAAAUGACCCCUAAAAUACCUCUCCUGAUGAGGCUGUGUUGCCCAUAGUGGGUCAAGAAAGUGAAGCCCCUUAACUUCAUCUCAACCAUGUCUCAUCUCCUCUAUUUUAUCUAAACUUUCCUUUGAGGGAGACCUUCUUGAAGAAAAGAACUCUGAGUCGAACAUUUUGGCUACUAGUGAGGAAUUAGUUGUGGAAACUCUCACCGAAAUGAGGGAAGGCACAAGGACUCCAUUUUCUGAGGAAGAAGACAGAAUUCGAGGCUCAUCUAGAGACCUCUGAACCAGAGUUUGACAAAGCCCAAAACUGUUCCACCCUCUACUACUGCAGAUGACGAAGAUGAUCUUCCCCUACGCUGGGCCGUGCAAAGAAGGAUGGUGCCUAUCUCUAGCAAGCGAAAAAAGAAAGUAACUGAAGAGACAUCUACAAAGAAAAUCCCCCAUCCUACUAUGGUUUCAACAAGGAAGUUAAGGAGUGAUGCAAUGAGGCAAAUAAGGCUAGCACAACUGAGAACAGGAAAAGAAGAAAGAUUGCAGUAGAAGAGAACCUGGUCCACAAGAGGUAGUGGUUGAAGUAUCAAAUGACAAGGAUGAAAGUGAAACUGAAUCAGAAAACAUCAUUUCUGCAGUUGAAAAGGGGAGAAAAAAGACAUUAGGAAAGCAAAAACCCAAAACAAGGAGAGCUUCAGUCAGAAAAGAAGUUGACUCGAAGAAAGGAGAGAAAAAGGAGCAAGGGAGGAAGAGAGUGAAGGAGACCACUAAAAGAAAAAGAUAAGUGUCGCCUGACACUGAGGAAAUUUUUGCAGAAUCUGAGUUCAAGUCUGAGAAGGGACCAGGUUCAAGGGAUAAAAAGAGGAAGGUAGAGAAUAAGGCAACUAGGGAGGAGAUAAUUGGCAUUUGAGAAAACAGAAGGUUUUAAAUGGAAGAGUGUUUGAUCGUGAGAUAAUUACCAAGCCAGGAAUGAGCAAUCCGGUUGAUUCUGUGGAAAUCCAAGGAUGGACUCACUUGUUCAUAGAUCUUAUUUCAGUGUUGCAUAAAAAUCAGGUAAGGGACUUUUACUAUAAUGCUGAAUUCACAGUAGAUGGGAGUCUCAAUACAUAAGUAGGUGAUAUAAUUUUUCACUUUAAUGAGGAAAGGUUGGGAGAGAUUCUAGGUGUACCCCCAUAAGGGAUUAGGUAUGUGGUUGGACAAUCGUGCUCUAAAAGGUUUGUUCAAAAAAAUGGAAAACUCCCAAAGUUAAAUUGUGUUGGAAUUCCCAAAAAGCUUCUGAAGGGGGAAUAUCAAUUACGUUUCGAGUUGGUGAAUAAAGUGCUUCUUCCUAGAACUGAGAAGCGAACAGUUGCUUUUGCGGGUGACCUUUUUCUAAUGGAAGCAUUGUGCAAGUUUGACUCCAUCAACCUUCCAUCCAUCAUGCUCGAGAAUAUGCCCAAGACUCUUAUAGAGCAAAAAGAGAAACAUGGCAUGGGUUAUGGCUACUUCUUAACAAGAGUGUUCAAAUAUAUGGAGAUUCCUCUUGAAGCAGGUGUGAGAGAAACAAUAAAGCAAUCUUUCUCCAUGAACACCCUGGUUGAGUGUGAGUGUAUGGAAGGAAAUAUAGGGUACAUGAGCAAAAUGACUGAGUUGGUGGUAGAACAGAGUAAGUUGAGGCAUGAACUAAAGGAAAUGACAGCAUUAUUGAGCCAUAAAGAUGCAUAAAUAGUUGUGCUGAAGGCACAAUUGGUGAGGGCUCAAACUGAGGGACCAGGUUCGGCUGAAGUCGCAGAAGUGAUGGCCAAAAAUGAAAGCGUCGUGACAUAAAAUUCUGAACUCAAGGAAAAGGUAAAUAAGACUCAUGACAAUGUAGAUGCUCGACUAACUCUUGUCCUUCAAUCCAUCGCCCAAAAGCCGCCUCCUUCCUAAUUCUUAUCUGGUCCUACCUAUCCAUCUUCCCUUUAUCUUUUUCUUUGUGUGGGCAUUGUCUCGUUGUUCUCUUAGGAGUUUGUUUAUAAUGUUUUUAAUGUUAUCUUAUAUGCAAUGAAAUGAAUUCCCUUUUUUUUUGUUGAAUGGCCUUUCUUAAUUUUCUACUUUUCUUUUAUGCUUGUGUUGCCAAAUGGCCAUGGUUUUACCAUACUUGCUUACUCUAAAUUCUGGUUUACUGCCUUUUCUUUUUUAUGAUGCCAAACGGGGGAAUAAUGGUAUGCUUAGGAUAGAAAUUUGACCUGUUUCACUAGGGAUUGGGAUAGGUACCUGGUACCUGAUGCGGUUGACAGGGGGAAGAAGUGGGUAGGAAAAGAGAAGUCUGUCAUCAUAAAAAAGGGGGGAAAUGUUAAUAUGUAGUUUUGAUGAUUUGACAAACCAUGGGAUCUGAUAGGGGACCUGAUCCCAUGUGAGAAUGGUGCUCUUGUACGAGAAAAUGACAGCUGGAAAAAGUACUCUGCUCACUCUGAUAUCUGCAGGAGGUGGUGCGCGUCUGGUGUAGAGCGACAGGCUGUAUGCCAAUAGUAUUGCUUCUAGGGUUUUGUGUCCAUCAUAUAUAAGCUUCAUAUCGAUGGACACAACCUAGUUUUUGCAUCCCAAAAGCUGGAAAUACAGCAAAUGCCAUUCUCUCUAGAAAUAUUCUCCUAAAGAACAACAAGGGACCUAUAGAGUUGUCAUUGUUCUUAGUUGUUGUAGGUUUAUAUUUCCAUGAUUAUCCUUGUAGAUCUAUUCCUGUGUUAUAAAGGAAUUAGAUUAGUUCAUGUUUUUAUCAUUGAUUCUGAGUUGUAGCUAGAGUUAGCUAUGGUGAGUUAGUGAAGUCUAAAUUGAUUAGAGUUAGUUGAUUUAGUGAGCAGCAGAGUUGUUGCUUUGGAGCUUGUUUGUAACAGAGUUGUUACAGUAAGGGGGAGGAAUUUAGUGUUAAAUUCCUAGAUUGCAAGAGCUUUUAAUCUGAAUCUUUUCUCCUUAAUGAAAAUGGAGUUGGGUUGUAAUCAUGUGAGUACAGGUCGUGGUUUUCUCCUCCCUUGAGCAAGGGGGUUUCCACGUAAACUGAUUGUGUCUUUUAUUUUAACACAUUUAUUUAAGUUACUGUUCAUUCUGAGUCAAGGGACCUGGUCCAUUGACAUGUAGUGGACGUAUACAUUCUAGGAUAGACCAAGACCAGAGCCUAAACCGAAGUCAGGAAACUGGCUGAUUUUCAUUUGGCAAUGGUUAUUGUCACUCUUUUAUAUGUCUUCUAGUGCACCAGUCUUCCAAUAGAAUUUUGAAUACUACCUGUAAGAUUGUAGGAACCAAUGUCGAGUAGAUUCAAAUUCACCAGGUUUGAGAUCUCUCUUGGUAUGCUUCCACCAAUUCUGUUUCCGAAGAAGAGUAAGCAUUGUAACUGACUAGAAAUGCUACCUAUUGAAUGGGGUAAUGUACCUCUCGUAAAUGUUGUUUUUGAUAUUGAAGUGCAUAGUUCUUUCUUCUUUUUUUUUUGUAAAUAUUAAGCCAUCAGCAUCACAGCUUAGAGCACAAUGAAGUAAACUUUUCAGUUGUUCUUAUAGUAAUAUUUCUCUCCUGCUAACUACAACUAACACAAUGAGGGCAAAGUGUGUAUGCAUAGAUGAUGCUUGUUAUAAGCUACAAAUGAAAUUCACUGUACAUUUAUAGGUCAGGGUUCGAGUUGUAGAAGUACCACUAUACUUGUAUUAGGAUAAACUAUCUAUAUCACACCUCUUGAAUGUGAUCUUUCCCUGGACUUGAGCUACUUUUUUAUUCAUUUAUAGAAUUGGCCACAGUAUCUAUAGUAACUCUUUUAGAUUAAGCUUUAGAAAGAUAAAGCACAAUUUUAUUUUUCAGGCAAUGUUUUGGUAACAGAGAAUUGGAGUUGUGAGGCUUUUUUGUGGUAAAAAUUGUUAAUUAGACUAGAAGUCGUUAUAUCCUUUGAACAAAACUGAUAUACAUAAACUCAUAAUAAAGGUUGUUACAAGAGAUAUUAAGUGUCUUAUUUCCUUACAACUCAGAUAAAAUCAGUGGUACUUCUUCCAAUCGAUUUGUGAUUCAUAUAUAGAGUCAUCAACUGGUAUAUGACAACAAUAUUAUGCUUGUUUUUCUUUUGCAAAGGAGAAAAUUGAAGAAAUCCGAAGUCAAAGGACAGAAAGUAUUGUCGAAGUUUCACCUAAUGAUGCACUUGGUAUAGUACUCGGUCCCGAACAUCCGGGCCAUGUUUAAGGGUUAGGCUUGGGUGUUUUUCCAGCUAUGGCAUUCAAACGAACAUCUAGGAGAUUUUAUCAUGUUAAUGUGAGUUCAUCUAGCACUAGCGCUCCAACUCCGGAGUGGCAGCAAGAGAUGACGAGUAUGAAAUUACAACUAAAUGUUCUACUUAGCUUAUAUCAAAGAAACAUAGGGAAAUAUCCUUGAAGAGUUUGCUCACUUAUUUCUACCUCCUCCACAGGCAUCAAAUAUAGGAAGUGAUACUCAACAGAUACCAAUCAGACCAAACGUCGAUUAGAAAGCUUGAAAUGGGAGUAACAACGAUGAUGGAUCAAGCACCAACAGAAAUCAGUUUUAGUACUUUUUUUUUUUGGGAUAUUCUUGUUGAAUGAUACUUUGAAAUUAAUAUUUUGAUGAUGUAAUUUUGAACUGUCAAACAAUACUUUAAAACAUUAAUAUUUUGAUGAUGUAAUUUUGUGUAAUUUUGAAGUACUUUUAUUUUAUAUAAUGAAUAUUUUGUUUGAUCUUUUA